UACGUAGGGUGCAGGCGUUAAUCGGAAUUACUGGGCGUAAAGCGUGCGCAGGCGGUUUCUUAAGUCAGAUGUGAAAGCCCCGGGCUUAACCUGGGAACUGCGUUUGAAACUGGGAGACUUGAGUGUGGCAGAGGGGGGUGGAAUUCCACGUGUAGCAGUGAAAUGUGUAGAUAUGUGGAGGAACACCGAUGGCGAAGGCAGCCCCCUGGGUUAACACUGACGCUCAUGCACGAAAGCGUGGGGAGCAAACAGG
rnacentral:rRNA from 1 species